UACGAAGGGGGCGAGCGUUGUUCGGAAUUACUGGGCGUAAAGGGCGCGCAGGCGUCUCUGAAAGUCAGAUGUGAAAGCCCCGGGCUUAACCUGGGAAUUGCAUUUGAUACUCUGGAGCUUGAGUACGGGAGAGGAGAGUGGAAUUCCCAGUGUAGAGGUGAAAUUCGUAGAUAUUGGGAAGAACACCGGUGGCGAAGGCGGCUCUCUGGACCGUAACUGACGCUGAGACGCGAAAGCCAGGGGAGCAAACGGG
rnacentral:rRNA from 1 species